UGGAAUAUGUUUCUUAGUGGCGGACGGGUGAGUAACGCGUGAGGAACCUGCCUUGGAGUGGGGAAUAACAGGUGGAAACAUCUGCUAAUACCGCAUGAUGCAGUUGGGUCGCAUGGCUCUGACUGCCAAAGAUUUAUCGCUCUGAGAUGGCCUCGCGUCUGAUUAGCUAGUUGGCGGGGUAACGGCCCACCAAGGCGACGAUCAGUAGCCGGACUGAGAGGUUGGCCGGCCACAUUGGGACUGAGACACGGCCCAGACUCC
rnacentral:rRNA from 1 species